UACGAAGGGGGCUAGCGUUGCUCGGAAUUACUGGGCGUAAAGCGCACGUAGGCGGGUUCUUAAGUCGGUGGUGAAAUCCUGGAGCUCAACUCCAGAACUGCCUUCGAAACUGGGAAUCUUGAGUCCGGGAGAGGUGAGUGGAACUGCGAGUGUAGAGGUGAAAUUCGUAGAUAUUAGGAAGAACACCAGUGGCGAAGGCGGCUUACUGGUCCG
rnacentral:rRNA from 1 species